AUACGGAGGAUCCGAGCGUUAUCCGGAUUUAUUGGGUUUAAAGGGUGCGCAGGCGGCCAUUUAAGUCAGCGGUUAAAUCGUGGGGCUCAACCCCAUUCUGCCGUUGAUACUGGGUGGCUUGAUUGCGGUCGAGGUUGGCGGAAUUCGUUGUGUAGCGGGGAAAUGCAUAGAUAUGACGAAGAACACCGAUUGCGUAGGCAGCUGACCAGACCGCAAAUGACGCUCAUGCACGAAAGUGCGGGGAUCGAACAGGAUUAGAUACCCUGGUAGUCCGCACAGUAAACGAUGAAUACUUGUUUUCGGCGAUAUAAUGUCGGAGGCAAAGCGAAAGCGAUAAGUAUUCCACCUGGGGAGUACGCCGGCAACGGUGAAACUCAAAUGAAUUGACGGGG
rnacentral:rRNA from 1 species